GCAAAUUGCCAUGUCAUAUGUAAUUACACCUGAGUUUUAUCAUUUAUAAUCGCAUAAGGUCUAAUAAGGUCUAACUGAUAUAAAUGAUAGUGAUUAGUAUGAUUAACCAUACUGCAGGCGAGUACUAUUCUACCAAAGCAGACAACCUAACGGUAAAGACCCUGGAUUGGUUCCAAUAUCGUUUCGUGAUAACUGAAAUUAAUUGUUAGUUAGAUAAUGGAAAACCACAGUAGAGACAGUACAUGAUUUUCAACAUUAUCUACAUGUGACUGGGAAGCCGUUCAAGAUUUCGGUACUGGGUUCAUUCACUGUUACUUUUAACUCAUCUAUAUUCAAUAGGUGAUUCGACCAAUCGGAUGACCCUCUUAAGACACGCAUUGAGUGCUCUUGAGUAUAUUUUUAAUUCACUGAUGGACUAGCUUUGAUUCCCUGAUGAACAUAGACUUUGUGUUUCCACCUCGAUUGGUCAAAGCGCCUAUUGAAAUUGGAUGAGUUAAUCGUAACAGUAAAACUUGGCCACUUCCCUGCUAGCAGAGGCUUCUUAUCUCUGUAUUUCGCUGGGCUGGAGUUCGCGAGGAAAAGAUGCGUGGGGCGGGGAGCGUUUUUGCGUGACCCGACCUCGGGCGGCUGCAAAGGAGACUGGACCCCGAGCGACGCGUUUUGUUUCCUUCCCCAUUACAUAAAAAUAACAGAGUAGGCAAGAACAGUUACUAGGGGCAGUGAUGAUGGAUCCGACCUUAUCAAAACAAAUCCAACCACCAACGUCCUCAGCUGGGACUUCUUUGGACUUGCCAUCACAAGGGAAAUGUACACAAAAGCGGCAGAGAAUCUAUUUGAUAAAAUGCUUUAGCUGACUUUUACGGGGCUUUCCUGUUUAAUUUUAUUGAAGGCAAGAAUAAAAAAUUUAAUUUAACUAU